CUCUUUUCCUCCUGCUCUGGCCGCGUUAAGAUGUGGCUACUUCCCUUCGCGUUCUACCUCGAUUGAAAAUUUUCUGAGGCCUCCGUAGCCAUGCUUCCCGUACAGCUGUGGAACCGAAGAACAGCAGCAAAGCCCCGAUGACCCACAUGCUAUUUGAUGGGGAAGAGACUAGGACUAGCAGGGCUUCCCAUGCUUACUGGUGAGCAUGUUUCUUUGGUGUAAUGAUCUGAAUUAAGCAGAAGAUGAAAGGAGUAUAGUAUUUUUUGGCCUUAUACUUCUCAAUGACACAGCUGAAGUCCAUCCCAUUUUUUAUUUAUCAGACUUUGGGAACAGACAACAAAUGAGAUUAUAAGUAUCUCCUUUCAGAGAUGGAUGCUCCAAGCAGAACUCUGCGACUCUGUAGUGCUCUUGGCAAUUAACAGCUUC
rnacentral:lncRNA from 10 species